ensembl:lncRNA
UAAGUGUUGCAAAUGCCUAGGACUGCAGCACAUCAUUUUCAGGCUCUGUGCCACCUGGGAGUACUUCUCCUCAGGCUUCAGGGCUGACUAAGCAGUGCAGGAAGAUUGGCUUAUACUGCCCAGCUGUAACAGCCCCUCUUUAAGCGCAGAUGAAAGCCAAUGAAUCAGAACUCAGCUUAUGAGCAAAACACAGCUCUUCUCAACCCCUCAUCCAGGAGCAGAGCCAGUUUGAGUCUUACUGAUGGACUGCCAGCUUUGAAUAUUUGUCCCUCCAAGUGCCAGGAGAGAUUAUAAAGAGCAUGAGUGUGGUGGAGGUAAGGAGAGCCAUGGAAAACCUGGUUGUUCCUCUGGCUGCUAUGAGACUUGGGCUUCUCUGGGGUGCACCCACCUACCCCAGCCCUCGCUGGGGGGAGAGGUUUCCUCCAACCUCUGCUGUUCCAAGCAAAAAGGUACAGCCAACAUUUCUGGCCAGAGCAGUUCUCUACCUGAUUCAUGUCUGUUGCUGAUUCUGCCUCCAAGAAAUUUCUCAGCAACACGUGUUACCAACUGCAAAGCACAUCAAGGAAAUACCCAGGGUGGGAAAUCAUUCUUAAUCCCCUUUUAGGCUCAGAAAAUUUGAACAACAAGCAGAGAAGGCUUGAGAAGGGCUUCACCCUGCUUCUGCAAGCUGUGGGUGUUUGCAAAGAAGAGUCUCCAGGUGUCAUCCAGCUUGUACUCAGAGAGCCCAGUGAUGCCUUUAGAAAUCUCCCAACUGGCUAUUUUAUGAAAAACAGAAGAGACAUUUGUGGAACAGCAUCCUUAAUUCCUUCACAGGAAGUUUCUGUGUCUUGAAGUGGUCCAAUAGACUGACCACGAAAAAUCUGCAGCAUAAUUUCAGGGUAUUGAACUAUGUCACAGGAUGUAGAUUAAGUUCUUUAAAGAUGAAGUCCUGUUCUUGAUGUACUGAUUGAAAUUAGUGUUAUACUGAUGGAAUCCAAGAGGUGUUGAUUGGGAGGCGUGUUUGGAUGCCUUUGAUCCAAUGGUGUGCUCAGAGCAAGACGAUAAGCAAUGCAAGAUCAAGCUAGCUGUGGUUUUCUGCAGUGAAACAUGGAAAACCUUCAAAGAUGCAGCCCUCUGUGAACUCUUCCAAGUCUGCACCAUCCUCCCAGUGCCAUUUUUUUUUCCCCUUAAUGUUAAAUUUGAACUUCCCAAGCUACAAUGUGUAACCAUUGUCCCUUGUAGUGUCUGUCACUGCUGAGAAGCCUUUGGGUCUGUGACCUUUGUGACUCCCUUUCCCACUGUUGUAGGUUUCUCCUAUUUUUCCACUGAGUCACGUUUUCACUGGGAGAGACAGUGCUACAUUUCUGCAAUGAGAGAGCUCACUGUUACCUUAGUAUUCAACCAAGUGUCCACUGCAACCCUUAGGUCUUUUCCAGCACUGGUAGACUUGAUCUUGAUGGAAAAUGAAUGGAUAUGUUUGACCCGAUAUGAAAUAUUAAAUCUCUAUUCAAGGUGACAUUUUGUAAAUUACAUGGCUGCGAAAUCAUGGAGAACUCGAAUCAUUUUCAGUAAGGAUGUUUGCUCCUACCACAAAACCCAAUUGGGGUGCCAUUCCUGGGGCAAAAGCCAGGAAGAGGUAGGGCCAUCAGACCUCACGUGGAUAUGAUUUUGGUUCCAUAAAUCUGCAGAUGCAUGGACUGGAAGCUGCACUUAUUGAGUGCACAGGGCAGAUGCACAUAGAAAUGCUGCUCUUAUCUGGUCCCUGUGUAUGUAAAGCCUGAAUGUGGCUCAUUGUGUUCUCUAUCAGGACACACGUCAGAAGCUUGGCUGUGGAUUCAAGAUUAGCUAAUUA